GUGUGUGUGUGUGUGUGUGUGUGUGUGUGUGUGUGUGUGUGUGUGUGUGUGUGUGUCUAUGGUUUCCCCCCUCAGGGUUUGCCGUAAGGAGGAAUGCACCAGCCCCACGACUUGAAUUGCUUGUUUUGAAUUGAGUUUAGUUUUACAAGAAGUUCCUGGUCCAGAGUUUGGCCUCUUGUCCUGUCAGGUGUUCCAAAACAUGUCUUGGCUCCUCCCUCCAUCAAUGCUCUUGCACACAUGCUUCUUUACCGACGACUGUCUUCAGUUUUUAAGAUCUCUAAUUUGGUUGUUUUAUAAAUAUAUAAAAAUAUAUAUAUUUGAAAUAUAUAUUUCUACAUAUUUAAGUGUUAUGUAUAUAAUCAGUAUUAGGCCGGUAAGCCGUGUCUCUGUGUGACAGUGGGGAGGGGUAAUUCAGGGUAGAGUAGUGUGGAGAUGUUGUUCAUUAGUCUGUUACUGUAGGCGUUACCUUAGUGAGGACCGCAGCAGACGUCUGCCCUGUCUCCAGGGAGACGGCGCUGUUACAACACUCUAAAGCUUUACAUAUUACACAAAGGUCUCCUGAUCUCCUAAGAUGACCAGGAGGGAGCCUGCUACUGUUUGGUUUGGCAGAGACUCUGUGUGAGUGACUUGGAAUGGCCUCUGUGUCUGAGGGGGAAUGAGGAUGUGGACAGAAGGUGUUGUUAAGUUUACAGUUUGUGCUGGUUUGUUAAGUAAGGUCUGGGUUAGAUGCCCAGCUAAAUGUUACAUACUCACAGGAGUGGUCUAAAGGUCUGUCCAGAAAAUGAAUGUGUGGGUAGCAAAGUCGAAUUGAAAACGGUUGCGGUAGUAUACGGGUGAUGGUGGCCACGGUGGAUUGUCACAGCUUCACAGGUCUGUCAGUCAUCCCAUAGAGGGCAGGAAGUAGCCCAGAUCCAUCAGGUGUUCUUUGACCUUUGACCCAUCUUGGCCUCCAUGUUUAGUUUGGUUGUCAGGAGAAGUGAAUAGCUUGAACCCUGCGCUUCGACUGAUGGGUGCAUGAAGAUGUUCUUGGAUCUUUAAUAGCCUGAGCAGAAUGUUGGUUUGCAUCUGUUCUAUUUUAAACUAUCCCUAACUAUAAAUAUAUAAGGCUCAACAGAUCAGCACAUCGGGAUCCUGGAGCUUAUGUUGUGUGUUAUUAAUGAAUACUAAGAAUUUCAGCUAUUUAAAACAGGAUGUGUUGGUGACCGCUGCUGGUCGUAAUGGCUUACUCUUCUUGCAACAUGUGACCGCAUAGAUCGCUUCAGAUCUGCUAGAUUCCUUUCAUGUGCAUUUUAAUAUAAUGACUUGUUUGACGAGGCCUAGUUGUUUUGGCACUGUGGGUUAAUUUCAGGUUUUCCAGUGGCCUGAGGCUGUCGGUGUUGAGGAGAACGGUGUUCUGUCUUUUCAACUUGAGGUGCGAGGUGAGACUGGGGUGUUUGCCUGAGGAAGAUGAAGGUGGCUGCGUUGGCUAAUUGUCACCCCCCUCUCUUGGCCUUUGAACGGAGUCCCUCUAGAACCCUUAAGGAGAGAAUGCAUUAGUCACCCUAAGUGCCCUGUCAUGCUGUGGGCUCCUUAGUCCGCCAAUAAAGUCUGUACUUUAUGUGUGUGCGUGGGUGUGUGUGUGUAGGCAUGCUUGAACUUAACAUGUGAUCGGCACUAUUGAUGUCAGACAUGGCCUCUCCAUGAUCGUGGCUGAUGAUGACAUUGUUGACAGAACCCUGUACUCCCUCUAUGCUAUGAACUUGAAUUUAAAGCUAACUGUUCCCCAUCUCCUAGUUGUUCCAGCAGUAGGAUAGAACAGUGCCUUAGAUUAAAGAGUAGGACCGAUUUUUAUUUUCAUAUGAUUACUAAAGUAAGAGGUCACGUGUGCUUACCUCGGCCAUGACAAUCAUUCUACCUAACUUGGGCCACGAGGAGGAUUCACUUCUAAAGAGCUGUUCAGGUCUGAAUACGGCCCAGUCCAUAAAAUUAUAUUUGUAAAUAUAUCUAAAAUGUACUGGAUAAAACUGUUAAAAUAAAGUUUUGC
ensembl:lncRNA